GACGAACGUUGGCGGCGUGCUUAAUACAUGCAAGUCAACUGAAGCAGUGGUAGCAAUCUCGCUGUGGAGGUGGCGCACGGGUGAGUAACACGUAGGUAAUCUGCCUUCAGGUCUGGCAUAACUCCGGGAAACCGGGGCUAAUAGCAGAUGAUGCAGCGGCUCGACAUCGAGACAGUUGUUAAAGCUAUGGCGCCUGAAGAUGAGCCUGCGUCUGAUUAGCUAGUUGGCGGGGUAACGGCCCACCAAGGCAACGAUCAGUAGCUGGUCUGAGAGGAUGAUCAGCCACACUGGAACUGAGACACGGUCCAGACUCCUACGGGAGGCAGCAGUAAGGAAUAUUGCUCAAUGGGAGAAGUCCUGAAGCAGCAACGCCGCGUGAGGGACGAAGGGCUUUUGCUUGUAAACCUCUGUAGUGAGAGAAAAAAAUCCCAAUCUUUGGGACAUGAUGGUAUCUCAAAAGUAAGCCCCGGCUAACUACGUG
rnacentral:rRNA from 1 species